rnacentral:rRNA from 1 species
GACGAACGCUGGCGGCGUGCUUAACACAUGCAAGUCGAACGGUGAAGCGCUUGCCUUUUUGGUGGGUGUGGAUGAGUGGCGUACGGGUGAGUAACACGUGAGUAACCUGCCCUCUUCUUCUGGAUAACCUCAUGAAAGUGGGGCUAAUACGGGGUAUUCCGGGUCUGUCGCAUGGCGGGUUUGGGAAAGAUUGCGCCUUUGGGUGUUUUCGGUGGGGGAUGGGCUCGCGGCCUAUCAGCUUGUUGGUGGGGUGAUGGCCUACCAAGGCGGUGACGGGUAGCCGGCCUGAGAGGGUGGACGGCCACACUGGGACUGAGACACGGCCCAGACUCCUGCGGGAGGCAGCAGUGGGGAAUAUUGCACAAUGGGCGCAAGCCUGAUGCAGCGACGCCGCGUGAGGGAUGGAGGCCUUCGGGUUGUGAACCUCUUUCGCCAGUGAAGCAGGCCUGCUCCUGUGUGGGUGGGUUGACGGUAGCUGGAUAAGAAGCGCCGGCUAACUACGUG